rnacentral:rRNA from 1 species
AAUGUAAUUCAUAUAGCGUUAAUGCACCAAAUUCCAUUAUAAAUCCACAGUUAAGAAUGCUUGGGCUAGAGUAGUACUAGGAUGGGUGACCUCCUGGGAAGUCCUAGUGUUUUACAUGC